GAGUUUGAUCCUGGCUCAGAUUGAACGCUGGCGGCAGGCCUAACACAUGCAAGUCGAACGGUAACAGGAAACAGCUUGCUGUUUCGCUGACGAGUGGCGAACGGGUGAGUAAUGUCUGGGAAACUGCCUGAUGGAGGGGGAUAACUACUGGAAACGGUAGCUAAUACCGCAUAACGUCGCAAGACCAAAGAGGGGGACCUUCGGGCCUCUUGCCAUCGGAUGUGCCCAGAUGGGAUUAGCUAGUAGGUGGGGUAACGGCUCACCUAGGCGACGAUCCCUAGCUGGUCUGAGAGGAUGACCAGCCACACUGGAACUGAGACACGGUCCAGACUCCUACGGGAGGCAGCAGUGGGGAAUAUUGCACAAUGGGCGCAAGCCUGAUGCAGCCAUGCCGCGUGUAUGAAGAAGGCCUUCGGGUUGUAAAGUACUUUCAGCGGGGAGGAAGGGAGUAAAGUUAAUACCUUUGCUCAUUGACGUUACCCGCAGAAGAAGCACCGGCUAACUCCGUGCCAGCAGCCGCGGUAAUACGGAGGGUGCAAGCGUUAAUCGGAAUUACUGGGCGUAAAGCGCACGCAGGCGGUUUGUUAAGUCAGAUGUGAAAUCCCCGGGCUCAACCUGGGAACUGCAUCUGAUACUGGCAAGCUUGAGUCUCGUAGAGG
rnacentral:rRNA from 1 species